rnacentral:rRNA from 1 species
ACGUAGGGGGCGAGCGUUAUCCGGAAUUAUUGGGCGUAAAGAGUGCGUAGGUGGUCUUGUAAGCGGGGGGUGAAAGCCAUCGGCUUAACCGAUGUUAGCCCCUGGAACUGUGAGGCUUGAGUACAGGAGAGGAAGGCGGAAUUCCUGGUGUAGGGGUGAAAUGCGUAGAUAUUAGGAGGAACACCAGUGGCGAAGGCGGCUUUCUGGACUGAAACUGACGCUGAGGCGCGAAAGCGUGGGGAGCAAACAG